rnacentral:rRNA from 2 species
GGUUUCCGUAGGUGAACCUGCGGAAGGAUCAUUGUC